GAAGAUGGAGAUGAGGAGGCCGGUAGUGAUGGUGGUUGAGGGAUGGAGUGAGGAAGCCGGUAGUGAUGGUUGUUGAGGGAUGGAGAGAGAGAGAGCGAGAGAAAGAUGGAGAUGAGGAGGCCGGUAGUGAUGGUGGUUGAGGGAUGGAGUGAGGAGGCCGGUAGUGAUGGUUGUUGAGAGAGAGAGAGAGAGAGAGUGAGUGAUGAUGAGUGGGAGAGUGAGUGAUGAGCGGUAGUGGGAAGACUGAGAGGACUUGGUUCGUUCUCGACCCCUGGUUCUUCCCGGCGCUCUCGGCUCUCUUGCUCCGCCCUCACCGCCCUCACGAUCCCGCCAAUGACGACCAUGAGUGAUGAUGGAGAGAGGACGUGCCCCCUCUGUGCGGAGGAGAUGGACAUCACUAACCAGCAACUGAAACCUUGCAAAUGUGGAUAUGAGGUGUGUAACUUGAACAGAACUUUGUUUUUGUUGUUUGGAUAAAAAUAUCAUACUCAGCCGAGUUAAAUGCUGCCCCUCUUUUGUUAUAUUGACAUUUAGUGUUUUGCAGUAUGUGCUGAAUCUUAUUGUAUAGGUGAUUAAAGAAAAAUUAUCAAGGUUAUUUUUCCUAAUCUCUUGAGGUUACUGAUUUCUAUCAAGCUAUCUAGUGAUUUGAAGAAUGUGGUAAGGAUUAUGACCAAUUUGUGAAUUGACUUUUUGCUAAUAUGGUAAUGAUAUGUUGAUUUUCUUA